CACCAACAUUUCUUACACAUUAGCACUAAGGGAACACUGAAUGACCUGCUGGUUUUUGUCCGUAAAACUACUCAUCUAAGUCUGUGAAGGUUCUCAGUCAUCCAGGUCAUCGUAGUCAAAGGAGUUUGCAAAGAAAAGCGUCUGGACUUCUUUAAGUUGCUUGAAGACGUUUCACCUCUCAUCCGAGAAGCUUCUUCAGUUCUAAGGUCAAAUGGCCGAGAGUCCCAGAUUUAAACCCAGUGGGAGUUUCCCCCCAAAGAGGGACAAAGGACCCCCUGGUGAUGCUCUAAUCACAUGAGCCAAGGUGUGAAAACGGGUGUGGGACCUGGCUGAUAGGGCUUUGGAGUUGACGUCACUGGGGGUGGGCCACGCCCCCUUUCCGCCAUGACAGUAGGCUAGACACAGGAUACAGCUUCAGCUAUGGUUCGUACGUGUUGUGUUAUCAGUUGCAACGUUUGAUCACACGAUCGUGAAGGCAAGAAGCUGGAUAAUGGGCUCUCUUUUCAUCGUUUUUCAACCUGGAGGCAACGUGAGGGAUCCCAUGUAUCCGAUAUUACUAAACAAAGACGUCAGGCUUGCAUUGCAGCGGUGAGACGAGCGGAUCGAGUUCUGUGCAAUCCCCAGCUUUUUGUUGGUUUGGUCUCUGCAUCUUCUUUCCGGUAUUCAUUGUCUUCUACAGUAGAGCGGGACAUUUGAUUUACUCUCAGCGGAAUUGACCGGAGAAGGCAUCAGGUCAUGCACUGCGCUGGCCUGCACCACGAUUAGUAUAAGGUAAGAAUGAAUGAUUUUUUUUUUCCUACUCGUUAUUUCCAUGUUUGCAUUUGAA
ensembl:lncRNA